GUUCCCUGAAAAGACAAGACUUGGGCUUGCUUCUCCAAAUGGGAAGGUUUGAAGUCUGAAAGAUCUUUCUAGGAUCUUCAAGAAGAGGCUUGAAGCAGGUGAACAACCAUUCCAAACUUCUUGAGGAGUAUGAAGUUCCAAAAUAACCACUUCCAACUGAGAAAAAGGGCAAGGCCCUGCUGUGAUGAUUAUUACCACCUCUACUCUAUCCAGCAAUCAGAUAGAGGGCCUGCUGACCCUGACAGUAAGGAUAGAAAUACAAAAGGAAGUUGUAGAAGGUUCUCCAAGGACAUGAGCUUUUUCAGAGAGUAAAGGUCUACUAAAUGACUCUUGCUGUGAGUGGAGAAUGUGUCUAUCAACUCUGUUACACUGUACUGUCCCAAGCACUCAAUACAGUGCUCUUCACACGGUAAGUGCUCAAUAAAUACGAUUGACUGCUUACAUGCUCUUCCAUAACAGAACAAAUUCUUCUCCCUCAGAGGCUACAAACAUAAGCUUAGACUUCAGCAGAUCCAUAAGCACUGUGAACAAUCAAGAGCUGAGCAGCUUGGACGGAGCACUAACCGAUCUGGGGAUAAUAAAGCUGAUUGUCUCUAUGAAGCAGCCUAAGAAUAAUUGAGUUUGAAUCUACCUGUUGCCUGAGACACUCCCUGGAAGCAACCCACAGCAGGGAGGCAGCUAAGGAUCCCCUAACAGCCCGGAAAUGACAAUGAAGUCUAACUUCAGAGAUGACUUGGCCAUGAGAAAGAAGAGAACCUGUUAAAUGCUCAGACUGCCAUGAACUUUGGGAAAUGCUCUACACGUGCAAGUUAUGCAUGUACAAUUUUCAAGACAUUAAGUAGGCAGGGUAGUAGGGAUUUCUCAAAAUAUAUGACAAAUAUUGAACACCUUUUUGGCUUAAGUAACAUGAAAAUAUCCCCCAUGUGUAAUUUUUUCCUAAACAGUGUGCUUAUCCAAAUGUUAACUGGAAUCCAUAUUCUUUAUAUGAGAUAAAGAAACUGUUUGAAGUGCAAAAAUGAUAUCUUUAUCAUCCCAUGCUGAGAACAUGAUUUUAAAUUUGGUACCAAAAAAAAAAAUCUUUCCCAUGGAACCCAAUCUUUCUUUUGUUAUUUUUACCCUUUUUCUUCUUAAAAGGGAUUAGCAGCAGAUUUAGAGUUAGUGUUUAAACAAAUCCUAAAUUGUGGUUAUUGAAAAAGUCAAUAAAUACAAGAAUAAUUGGUCCUUGAAUUUUCCAGUACUGUCUCAACAGAGCACAGCCUUGUCUCUGAGAAUCUCACCCAAGGUUUCUGAAGUGAAAUCACUGGGUUUUUUUUUAAGUAGAGUAGCUUUUAUCCCUCCUUUUAAGGAGUUUACAUUAAAAAGUUGCCAUAGAUGGCAUAUCCACAAUUCUUCAUUUUUCUGUUUUCUCCUCAGAAGUUGACCAGGAUCCUUAGUAAGACUUGUGGUAUUUGUUAAGCAAUUACUAUGUAUCAAACACUGUACUAAACCCUGGAGGAGAUACAAGAUAACCAGCUCUGACUCAGUUUCUGAUUCACACUGGGGUCACAGUUUAAAUAGGUGGGAGAACAGAUAUUGAAGCCUCAUUUUAAAGAUGAGGAAA